rnacentral:rRNA from 1 species
GGGGGGGGGGGGGGGGGGGGUGGGGGGGGGCGGGGCGGACGGGAGGGGGCUGCGUGCAGGGGAGUCGAGGGGCGGACGGGUAAGUAGCACGUGGGUGAUCUGCCCUGCACUUCGGGAUGAGCCUGGGAAAAUGGGUCUAAUACCGGAUAGGAGCCAUUUUUAGUGUGAUGGUUGGAAAGUUGUUUCGGUGUAGGAUGAGCUCGCGGCAUAUCAGCUUGGUGGUGGGGUAAUGGCCUACCAAGGCGGCGACGGGUAGCCGGCCUGAGAGGGUGGACGGAAACAUUUGGACUGGGAUACGGCACAGACGCCUACGGGAGGCAGCAGUUGGGAAUAUUGCACAAUGGGUGCAAGCCUGAUGCAGCUACGGCGCGUGGGGGAUGACGGCCUUCGGGUUGUUAACUCCUUUCGCUAGGGACGAAGCUUUUUGUGACGGUACCUAGAUAAGAAGCACCGGCUAACUACGUG